rnacentral:rRNA from 1 species
CAGCAGCCGCGGUAAUACGUAGGGUGCAAGCGUUAAUCGGAAUUACUGGGCGUAAAGCGUGCGCAGGCGGUUCGGAAAGAAAGAUGUGAAAUCCCAGAGCUUAACUUUGGAACUGCAUUUUUAACUACCGGGCUAGAGUGUGUCAGAGGGAGGUGGAAUUCCGCGUGUAGCAGUGAAAUGCGUAGAUAUGCGGAGGAACACCGAUGGCGAAGGCAGCCUCCUGGGAUAACACUGACGCUCAUGCACGAAAGCGUGGGGAGCAAACAGGAUUAGAUACCCUGGGAGUCCACGCCCUAAACGAUGUCAACUAGCUGUUGGGGCCUUCGGGCCUUGGUAGCGCAGCUAACGCGUGAAGUUGACCGCCUGGGGAGUACGGUCGCAAGAUUAAAACUUAAAGGAAUUGGCGGG